rnacentral:misc_RNA from 1 species
UUUCCGUAGGUGAACCUGCGGAAGGAUCAUUCAUAAUAAGUGUUUUAUGGCACUUUUUUAAAUCCAUAUCCACCUUGUGUGCAAUGUCAGGGUUGAUUUUUCUCUCGAGAGGAUCAACCCCAAACAUCAACUAUAUCUCAACUCUUUGUCUGAAAAAUAUUAUGAAUAAAACAAUUCAAAAUACAACUUUCAACAACGGAUCUCUUGGCUCUC